UUAUUAGUGCCUCUGUGAGUUGGGGGGGGGGGUUAAUUAAGAGUUCAUACAGGUAAUUAGUGGGAUUAAGUAAGGUAAUUAUGGCCUUCCUGUGGGCUUAAUGAGGUUAUUAGCGUCUCUGUGAGUUUAAAAGUAUAAUUACUCCCGUGGGUUCAGAGAGAGAGAGAGUGGGUUGGUAUGUGACCUGUUCAGUACGUGUUUUUAGGGCUCAAGAGAAUUAGAGGGGUAAUUAGUGGGCUUAAUUGGGAUAUAUAAAUAAUUAGAGGUUUAAUUAGUGCUCCUGUGUGGAUUUAAACCAUUAAUUAUCGCUGUUGAGAUAGGUAAGGAAGAGUGACCCUAUAUUAGUGGGCUUAAUAGGGUAAUUAGGGCUUCUGUGGGAGUCUGAAGGGGAUAAUUAGUGCCAUAGGUAGUUAUUAUAGUAGGGUUUAAGUGAUAAUUAGUGUAAGUGUUAAUUAAGACCAUAGGGGAGUGGGUUGGUUAGUGACCUGGCCAUGUAAUUAGUAAGGUUUUAAGAAAGUCAUUAGUGCUUGUUAGUUUGGGGGAUAAUUAGUGCCAUAGGUAGUUAUUAUAGUAGGGUUUAAGUGGUAAUUAGUGUGUUAAUUAAGACCAUAGGGGAGUGGGUUGGUGAGUGACCUGGCCAUGUAAUUAGUAAGGUUUUAAGAAAGUCAUUAGUGCUUGUUAGUUUGGGGG